AUUGAACGCUGGCGGCAGGCCUAACACAUGCAAGUCGAGCGGAUGAAGGGAGCUUGCUCCUGGAUUCAGCGGCGGACGGGUGAGUAAUGCCUAGGAAUCUGCCUGGUAGUGGGGGAUAACGUCCGGAAACGGGCGCUAAUACCGCAUACGUCCUGAGGGAGAAAGUGGGGGAUCUUCGGACCUCACGCUAUCAGAUGAGCCUAGGUCGGAUUAGCUAGUUGGUGGGGUAAAGGCCUACCAAGGCGACGAUCCGUAACUGGUCUGAGAGGAUGAUCAGUCACACUGGAACUGAGACACGGUCCAGACUCCUACGGGAGGCAGCAGUGGGGAAUAUUGGACAAUGGGCGAAAGCAUGAUCCAGCCAUGCCGCGUGUGUGAAGAAGGUCUUCGGAUUGUAAAGCACUUUAAGUUGGGAGGAAGGGCAGUAAGUUAAUACCUAGCUGUUUUGACGUUACCAACAGAAUAAGCACCGGCUAACUUCGUG
rnacentral:rRNA from 1 species